ACCGGCAGCUCAAGUGGUGGCCAUUUUUAUUGGGCCUAAAGCGUUCGUAGCCGGUUUGAUAAGUCUCUGGUGAAAUCCCGCAGCUUAACUGUGGGACUUGCUGGAGAUACUAUUAGACUUGAGGUCGGGAGAGGUUAGGGGUACUCCCAGGGAAGGGGUGAAAUCCGAUAAUCCUGGGAGGAGAGCAACGGGAGACGGGGCCGAGCUGGAACUUAGCUCACCGUGAGUAGCGUAAUUCACUUGCGCGACAAG
rnacentral:rRNA from 1 species